UGGAUUGCAAGCACGGAUUCAUCAACUGAAUGAGUUUGCUAUCUAUGUCCCCUGUGCUGGACACAGCCUGAACUUGGUGGGAGUAAACGCGGCAGAGUGUUGUCUACAGACUGUAACAUUCUUUGACUUUGUUCAGUGUCUGUAUUCCUUUUUCUCUGCUUCUACACAUCGAUGGAAUGUUCUGGCAUCAUCUUUAGGAAAAAAAUGUGGUCAAGUGUCUGCCUGACAUGAGAUGGUUGUCACAUUUUGAUGCUGUUCAUGCUCUGUAUGGGGGUUUCGAGAAAAUUAAACAUGCACUGGAUUCUGUAUCAGCUGACACUGAACAGGAAGUGAACACAAGGAGAGAGGCAGAAGGAUUGAACGAGAAAAUGGAGAACCUGGAAACGAUCUUUCUCACAAUUCUUUGGAUUGACAUUCUUGAAAGAGUGAACAAAACAGGUAAGGUCCUGCAGUCAGAGGAUGUGAACAUACUUGUUGCCAUGAAUCUUCUUGAGUCUCUGAAAAUCUCUUCAGGAAAUUAGAGACAAAUUGAGUGAAUACAAAUUGAACGCCAGGAGUAGGUGGCCAGAUUCAGAUUAUAGAGAUGUGAAAAAACAGGAAUAAAAACAAAAUGUGUAGGCACCUGGGCAGCACACUGCUUUGCCCUAUAAUGCUGUUGACGACCCUGGCACUUUGAUCAGAGGAGGAGAGUCCUGUCAAAGCAGAACUUUUUGUCAUCCAAGUUGGCAGUUAGGCAGAGAAUUAACAAAUUUGGCCUGUAAAAAAAUGUUAAUGGAAAAUAUGGCAGAAAAAUGAAACACUGUGUGAUGAUUUUCAGGAAUCAAGCCCCUGUAUGACUACCAUUGGUGAAAGCUGGGAGGAAGCCACAGAAAUGAACUGAUGAGUACAUCCUAAAGGAAGACAAAUUGACCCCCCUAGCGGAAGUAUCAAUACCAGGAUAGGAAGAGAUGUUUUGGGAGGUAUGAUUGAUAAAAAUGGAAGAUUAAUCACAACAGGGUUCUUCUCUUGGAGCAUUGCCUUGUCAUAAGGAGCAUCAUGUUUCUUCAGAGAGAUGCACUGUAGAAAGCAGACUAUCCGGAUGCAUCACUGUUUGGUAUUGCAACGGCCCUGCCCAAGACAGCAAGAAAUUGCAGAGAGUUGCAGAAAAUACAAAAGCUUGAAAGCACAUACCACCAGAUUCAAGAACAUAGAAAAGUCCAGCACAGGAACAGGGCUUUCGACCCACAACAGCUUCUUCUGCGUUGUUAUCAGACUUCUGAAUGGACCUAUCACAAAAUAAAGGCGUGGAUCUGAAUUCCCAAUCUAA